rnacentral:lncRNA from 1 species
CUCUUUAUCCCAGACCGUACGGCUCACUGGGGCUGAGCGUGGCAGUGACAGGGAUGUGCACAGCUGACUGACUGACUGAGUGACGGGUUUGUUUUCACUUUGGGGAUUACACAGGAUACAGCUGGACACUUGGGGACAUUGAAGGAAGGGUGCACUAAAAAAAGCCAGACGCCAUGCAACAGAAUGACUUUGCCCAGGAUGCAAACCAGCUGGAGGAGAAAUACCAGGAUGAGUCACCCAGAGGAGAACCGGUCCAGUUGGAGUCCCCAGAUGCCGCCCCGUUCAGCUGCCUGGAUCACUUGGUGGUGCGGAGGCAUUCAUGUCGCACCAUGCAGCUGCCGCCCUUGGCUUUCAGGCUGGCGGAGCAGGCCUAUUACGACCGUACACCUGAACCGACCCCCAUGACAGUACCCUCCCGGCCGACCACUCUGUCUCUGCUGCCCCCCAUUAUUAACAUCACCGCCGCGGACUCCACCAGAAGGCGGGGUCAGUGAACCAGUCAGCCAAUCAGCACGACUCGUG